UCCACCCAAACCUCUGCACUGAGGACCAGCCCUGCACACAUAGACUUCGGGCGGACAUUUAAGAUCUAAACCGUAGAGCAGUCGCGUUUGUCGAGGCGGAAAGCAGCCUGAGUGGCUAACCAGGCCCCAGGUCCCACCAGAAACAAGUGCCAGUGACCCCCUGGCAGGCCUCGGCCCCAACUCAGAGACCAGAGAUGGCCAGGCCCUGAGGCCAGCCCCGUGAAGAAGGCUCGUCGGCCAUGCUGGCCCAGGGUGGCGGCCUCAGGCCCGGCUCAGCACCGGAGCCCACACCUCAGCUCUCCCAUGCGCAGCACCCUCUCCUCCACCCCAAGCGAGGUCUCCCGGCUCCUCACACGCCACAGAGUGGAGGCCCUGCCCUCGGCCACCCCUGCCCCUGUGGGCCCUGACAGAGGCCCUGGGCACAGUGGGCAGCAGCUGGAGAGGCUGGAUGAGGAGGCAGGCGCCCUGGACCAGGGUGCGGCUGCUCCUCCAGGCCCGGGCCCGCACAGCGGCUGCACACCCCGCGCAGGAGGGCCCAGGAGCCCAGGGCACGGCAGACCUCCUCACCUGCUCCUGUUCCUAAUCACACCUGAAACCAGGGUCACACUCCUGUGCUGAUGCACGCCGUCCAGAUUCCUUGCAUCCAACAUGAAACCUCUCCCUGGAUGAAGCAUUUAAACCGCAGUCAUCAACUGAAAGGGGACGCGUUGUCUCCAAGCUGAGAUCCGGGCUGCCCUGCGGGGGACCCUGCAGACCUUACCACUUCAGAAUUGUUAUUCAACAAAUUUUUGCUGAAUUCAGAAGCAAAAAGUAUCAUCUGCACUUGUUUCCCAGGCUGCCAUAACAAAGAACCAGGAGCUGGGUUCAAAUGUCAGGGACGGUCCCCUCGUGCCGGGGGCCUGGACAAGGCUGUGACACUCAGGGGAGGGCCUUCCCGCCACCUCAGGACCCUCACCCAGUCUCUGCCUCCACCCCACAGGGCUGUCCUCACCCUGUGUCCCUUGGGGGUCCAGCCCCCUCAGUGUGAUGUCACCCUAGUGGGUGACACCUGUGAGUGUCCUGUUUCCACAUCAAGUCCCACUCCCAGGUUCUGUGUGGGGACUGAACCUCUCUGGGGAGAUGGGGAUCCGUCUGGGCCGUGCGUGUCCACUACCGUCCAGGUGUGAGCCUCCUCCCCGAGGUGGCUUGGCCCUGGGUCACCCCCCGUCUCCGAGGGCGGCUUGUCAAGUCGGUCUUACUCGCCUACUGGGAAAGGCUCAAGUGUCAAGGAAAGCUAGCGCUGACCUAAUGGAACGGAGCCCGCUGAGCUAGAUGGGGACCCGCGUCUGGCUUCUCCAUGUCCUCCGCCUCGGCCCACGCCCUCGGCCCCACCUCCCCGCACAGCACGGUACUGUGUAUUCCAAGGCGGCUCCCCGUUUGCAGGUGAGCUUGAUGCCAGGGCUUGGGGGGGACGGCUGGGCUCUGUCUGGGUAGGAGUGGACCCACGCCAUGCUCCCGGGCGCUUCCCCCUCUCCCUCUCACCCUUCAGCCCUCCGCCAUGGGAUAAUACCCAAGAAAGCCCUCCACAGAUGCAUCUUGGAGUUCCAAGACAGUAAACUUAUGUUCGUCAUAGAGGGCCCAGUCUGUGGCCUUGUGUUACAGCAGUGCACAGUGGACAAAGACUGGUGGCCAGCGUCUACCCAGCUCCUAGCCUGCAGAGAGAGGCCUUCCCUUGUUCCAGAAAGCAUCUUAGGGAAGCCCUCUUUCCGCCAAGGGUAUUACCUUUAUCCACUGGAGGUCAAGUGUAGGUCAGUCACCCUGAUUACCUGAACUACAGGUAGGAAGGAGGUAGUUCCCAGGAGGUGGGACCAAACAAAGGAGUCACAGUCUUCUUUGAGUGGGCAAAAUCAAAAGAUGUUCCCAGAAGGGUAAAUCCUUUUCUUAUUUUUUCCUGAGAACUCUUUAUA